UCAUACGGGAGGCAGCAGUGGGGAAUAUUGCACAAUGGGCGCAAGCCUGAUGCAGCCAUGCCGCGUGUGUGAAGAAGGCCUUAGGGUUGUAAAGCACUUUCAGUAAGGAGGAAAGGUUAGUAGUUAAUACCUGCUAGCUGUGACGUUACUUACAGAAGAAGCACCGGCUAACUCCGUGCCAGCAGCCGCGGUAAUACGGAGGGUGCGAGCGUUAAUCGGAAUUACUGGGCGUAAAGCGUACGCAGGCGGUUUGUUAAGCGAGAUGUGAAAGCCCCGGGCUCAACCUGGGAACUGCAUUUCGAACUGGCAAACUAGAGUAUGAUAGAGGGUGGUAGAAUUUCAGGUGUAGCGGUGAAAUGCGUAGAGAUCUGAAGGAAUACCGAUGGCGAAGGCAGCCACCUGGGUCAAUACUGACGCUCAUGUACAAAAGCGUGAGGAGCAAACGGGAUUAGAUACCCCGGUAGUCCACCCCGUAAACGAUGUCUACUAUGAGCUGGGGUCUUCGGAUCACUUUUCCAAAGCUAACGCAUUAAGUAGACCGCCU
rnacentral:rRNA from 1 species